CAACUCUCAGAUGGCUUCCAAUAGGGAAUCUGCUAGGCGUUCAAGAAGAAGAAAGCAAGAGCAGUUGGCAGAACUGGAAAACCAGGUUGAUCAACUACGAGGAGAAAAUGCAUCUUUGUUCAAGCAGCUUGCAGGUGCUGCUCAGCAAUAUAAAGACUCUUCAACAAAUAAUCGAGUGCUUAAAUCAGAUGUGGAAGCAUUGUGAGCCAAGGUGAAGCUAGCAGAAGAUAUGGUUGGUCGAGGUUCAGUGAAUUCUAGUUUGAGCCAUCUUAUUCAAAACUAUCUCACCGCUCCGGCAACUACACUAGGCAUUAAUAAUGUAUGUCCAAAGAUGCACU